UAAAUGACCCCAAGCAUAUCCUUCUUUGUCCAGGAUUUGUUUUGAAAGAGCAAUGCCGUGAAUAGGGGAUAUCUCAGGUAGAGUCUGGUAAGGGAAAAUGUGUCUGAGCGGCAGCUGUGGUCUCUGGAUAGAAGAGUAGGUGCCUUCUGUUAAAACUGUGGGCUGCUUGGAUGGCCAGAGGCCACUGUAGGUUUUUCAGCAGAGCUGAGGGCAGGAUUCCGUCACCUCCCUCUCCCCCAUUAGAAAUGGAAAACUGGAAGACUAGCUGUCAAUUAUUGAAAGAAAAUGGGAGGUGGGAAACUCAAGCCAAAUUUAUAUUUUACUUCCUCAAAGUCAAGGUGAUGCUAGCACAAAAUUUGAAGAGAACAUUCCCUUUCUUCGGGAUUUAGGAAAUGGUGCUGCAGACUUAAGAGAUAAGGGAGGAGAUACAUAGGGUUAAUGAGGACCAGCUUUACCUCUCAAGUGCCUAGAAACGGUUUUAAUAAUCAGGGUUAGAUUCUUUGAGGCUUUGCUCCCUUAAGUUAGACCAUUCCUUCCCAAACAGAAAUAUAGAUUAUUUUCUCUUACCUACUGGCUGGCCAUUGGAUAGCAGGCUAAACUUCCAAGAAAUCUUACUUUGGAAAACUUUUGAUUAAUCCAGAAUAUUAGGUUUUGUCACUUUAAAAACGGAAGUAACAGGUUCUUGAGUAAAGAAUUUCAUUAAUGUUU
rnacentral:lncRNA from 1 species